UGGGGAAUAUUGGACAAUGGGCGCAAGCCUGAUCCAGCAAUGCCGCGUGAGUGAUGAAGGCCUUAGGGUUGUAAAGCUCUUUUACCCGGGAUGAUAAUGACAGUACCGGGAGAAUAAGCCCCGGCUAACUCCGUGCCAGCAGCCGCGGUAAUACGGAGGGGGCUAGCGUUGUUCGGAAUUACUGGGCGUAAAGCGCACGUAGGCGGCUACUCAAGUCAGAGGUGAAAGCCCGGGGCUCAACCCCGGAACGGCCUUUGAAACUAGAUUGCUAGAAUCUUGGAGAGGUCAGUGGAAUUCCGAGUGUAGAGGUGAAAUUCGUAGAUAUUCGGAAGAACACCAGUGGCGAAGGCGACUGACUGGACAAGUAUUGACGCUGAGGUGCGAAAGCGUGGGGAGCAAACA
rnacentral:rRNA from 1 species